ensembl:lncRNA
CUUUGAGGAAAGGAGAUUCAGACACAAGCAAAAUGAAACUUACCUUUAUUCCUAAUUGGUAAGGCACUCAUAUAAGAAAUAGAGUAUCUGGAUUUUGCUCUGUAUAGCUUCUAAAAUAUCUAAAACUUAGUGCAAAAAAUGCACUUAGAUAUCUAUCUCAUAGGUUUUAAAGUGUAAAGGUGUAACCAAGUUUGACAUCAGAACUGUUUCUGCUUUGAGCAGAAAGUUGGACUGAAGACAUCUUGAGAUAAUGGCUGUUCAUCAAAAAAGUCGCAGAAAGUCAACUCUUCAUGCUGGAAGCUUCAUGUUUCUAAUACAAAGCAAUGGAAAAUUAAAUUAUCUGGUAGCUAAAACAUUUCUGUAUGAUUAGACCAUGGAUAUUCUAAACCUCAUUACAGUUUUCAAUAAACAUUGUAGUGUUUGCAAAAAAAAAAAUUUUAUUUAAUCCGGGAGAGAAAGGGAAGGGUGAAGGCAGUGACUGCGGUCAACUCAGUGCCUGGUGAUUGCCAGACAACUUUGCAUUGAGCAGGCAGUCCAAUCCCAGAGGUCAAUCAUCAGUGCAAGGUCAGGGCCACCAAAAAUAAAGUCCAGCCCAGCAUGUAUAUGACAUAGCUUGGAUAAAGUCUGACUCCAAGGCCAAUAGGCACAAAGUACAUGGAAGGAGAUCCAGGGAAAGCAUGAGGAAGGCAGGAAGGCAGGAAGGCAGGAAGGCAGGAAGGAAGUAAGGAAGGAAGGAAGAAAGGAAGGAAGGAAGGAAGGAAGGAGAAAAAAAAAUAAAGAAGGAACAGCUCUGAGAUUUUUCUAUGUGUAUCUGAAACAUGGCCAAAGCCAUGUAGAGACUGUAAAGAUAGCUUUAAACAACUCUCUUUUGUCCUUCUCUUUGCCGUGUUUCACUUAGAAAUUGUGACAUGAGACUAAACUUGAGACAACAUUUGGAAUUACUUCAUUAAUGAAUAAACAAGUUAUUCAGCAGACUCCAUUAAGAACUAAAGGCUCCUGCUUCCCACUUAACUGACCCAAGUUUCACACUUCUUUAUCAUAUAACUGUCCCAAUUAGUCUAGAAAAACUGUUGUUCUUGCACUGUUGUUCUGUCUUUCUUGCUAAAUAGAAUUCUGAUCUAACUAAAAUAGAUCUAUGAUCUACUUUUAAAUAAAUCAGUAAAUCAGCAUAUUUGUUACCUUUCCAUUUCUAAUACACCAUAACACCACAUUUUAUUUGUACAUCAUUCUCUAUUGUGUUAUUUUUAAUUCAUUUUUCAAUAAACUUCUAAGUUCCUGAUAAUUUUUUUGUCAGAUUUUUUACACAUUAGUCAGUCUGCCAUCUCUUCUAAGUCUGAAAUAUACACAGAAGGAAAUAACCAGCUUACUAAAGUACAUAAACAGAG